CUGCCCUGCAAAUCUGGGUCAUUGCGGUCAGUUGCAUGGUUGUUGUUGAUUUCUGCACUGCGCCAAGACACCUGGCUGAGAUGAUGGAUGCAGCAGCCACUGUUUGAAGCUCUGCUUGCCACACGGUGGAGGAAAAAAGUUCUUGACCUUGUUGGACCAACAAUUAAUUGCUUCUGCCUGGAAUCAGCUUUGGAAAUGACAUCAUUUCUGCUCCGACUUAUUGGCCAGAAUUAAUGUCGUGGUCCCACCCAACCUCAAAAGGGACAAAAAGUGCCAUCCUACCAUGGGCCUGGACGGCAGGAGAGUUUGGAAACAUUUGGCAAAUAGCACUGCUGACUCCCAGAGCUGACAUUUUCCAUAAAAUGGACUGACUUUUCUUAUUUCCUAAAUAGCCAUUUCUACCAGUUGUUUUGGCCUUCACAAAAAUGCAUUAUCAACAGCAGGACAUGGCAAUAACAACUAUAGCUAAAGCACAGUCUUUUUUGGAAACCUUUCAGUGACAUCUCUGUCCAUAAAUAAGGAUUCUUUGGAGGAUCUUAGUUCCCUGACCAGAGAUUGGACCCGGGCCCCCUGCAGUGGAAGCGUGGAGUUCUAACUACUGGACCACCAGGGAAUUCCCUCCAGCAGGAAGCUGCCCAGAGGAUAAUUCCCUGCCCACAGCAUCUCACUGAGGGAGCAGACAUACACAAUCAAGUCUGCACCGCAAGACCAAGCCACACAUAGCUGAAUGGACCAAUGGUGGGUACUGGAUCCAAGGGCAGCCAAUCCACAGGCUGAAUGUAAAUGAAGAGGCUGGCCAAGGCAAAGGAGUACCCAAUCAGAGACAAUGGUGAUCAGCUGGACCAAGCAGACUCCCUCUCAGGAAUCUGAAUUAUGACAUAUGGGGAGAGAAUAAGUCAGCGGCUAGUGGGUGGAUGGACAUGUGAAGAUACCACAAAAGGAAAUAGUGAGGAAAGUAUCAAAGUGGCUGAGGGGGAUUGUGGGGCUGGGGCAGGAGACAACAGGGUCCACCCAACACCUGACAGUAUUCCAUCUCCAUGAAGCCGGCGGCUGUUGUGGGUUCCCGGAGAGAGUUUUCGCUCCCUCCUCCCACAUGUAACCUUACAACUCCAUUCUUGAAACAGCCUGAAGGAGAUACUUUGCAACCUUACAAUCCCCCAAAUCUAACUAGUAUUAAUGCACGGUCCAAAAUUU